rnacentral:rRNA from 1 species
CCUACGGGUGACAGCAGUAGGGAAUAUUGCUCAAUGGGGGAAACCCUGAAGCAGCAACGCCGCGUGGAGGAUGAAGGUUUUCGGAUUGUAAACUCCUUUUGUUAGAGAAGAUAAUGACGGUAUCUAACGAAUAAGCACCGGCUAACUCCGUGCCAGCAGCCGCGGUAAUACGGAGGGUGCAAGCGUUACUCGGAAUCUCUGGGCGUAAAGAGCGCGUAGGGGGGAUAGCAAGUCAGAUGUGAAAUCCUAUGGCUUAACCAUAGAACUGCAGUUGAAACUGGUAUUCUAGAGUAUGGGAGAGGUAGGUGGAAUUCGUGGUGUAGCGGUAAAAUGCGUAGAGAUCAAGAGGAAUACUCAUUGCGAAGGCGACCUGCUAGAACAUAACUGACGCUGAUGCGCGAAAGCGUGGGGAGCAAACAGGAUUAGAUACCCUUGUAGUC